rnacentral:rRNA from 1 species
UACGAAGGGUGCAAACGUUGCUCGGAAUCAUUGGGCGUAAAGCGCACGUAGGCGGCCUUGUAAGUCGGAUGUGAAAUCCCUCGGCUCAACCGAGGAAGUGCGUCCGAAACUGCGAGGCUCGAGUAUGGAAGAGGGUCGCAGAAUUCCCGGUGUAGAGGUGAAAUUCGUAGAUAUCGGGAGGAAUACCAGUGGCGAAGGCGGCGACCUGGGCCAAUACUGACGCUGAGGUGCGAAAGCGUGGGGAGCAAACAGG